GCAGGAAAACAUGAUUUUGCG
rnacentral:snRNA from 1 species